AUGGGAUGACAUCUAGAUGACGAGUCAGACCGAGUCUUUCGCUGGUGAUAAACCUCUUUUUUACCAUUCAUGCAUUAUCUGAUC
rnacentral:snoRNA from 1 species